GCCCGGGUGGCGGAAUAGGUAGACGCUACGGACUUAAAAUCCGUUGUCCUUUUUGGACGUGCCAGUUCGAUUCUGGCCUCGGGCA
rnacentral:tRNA from 1 species